CCUUAGAGUUUGAUCCUGGCUCAGGACGAACGCUGGCGGCGUGCUUAACACAUGCAAGUCGAACGGGGUGUUUAUUUCGGUAAACAUCAAGUGGCGAACGGGUGAGUAACGCGUAAGCAAUCUACCUUCAAGAUGGGGACAACACUUCGAAAGGGGUGCUAAUACCGAAUGAAUGUAAGAGUAUCGCAUGAGACACUUACUAAAGGAGGCCUCUGAAAAUGCUUCCGCUUGAAGAUGAGCUUGCGUCUGAUUAGCUAGUUGGUGAGGGUAAAGGCCCACCAAGGCGACGAUCAGUAGCCGGUCUGAGAGGAUGAACGGCCACAUUGGGACUGAGACACGGCCCAGACUCCUACGGGAGGCAGCAGUGGGGAAUCUUCCGCAAUGGGCGAAAGCCUGACGGAGCAACGCCGCGUGAACGAUGAAGGUCUUAGGAUCGUAAAGUUCUGUUGUUAGGGACGAAGGGCAAGGGUUAUAAUACAGCCCUUGUUUGACGGUACCUAACGAGGAAGCCACGGCUAACUACGUGCCAGCAGCCGCGGUAAUACGUAGGCGGCAAGCGUUGUCCGGAAUUAUUGGGCGUAAAGGGAGCGCAGGCGGGAAACUAAGCGGAUCUUAAAAGUGCGGGGCUCAACCCCGUGAUGGGGUCCGAACUGGUUUUCUUGAGUGCAGGAGAGGAAAGCGGAAUUCCCAGUGUAGCGGUGAAAUGCGUAGAUAUUGGGAAGAACACCAGUGGCGAAGGCGGCUUUCUGGACUGUAACUGACGCUGAGGCUCGAAAGCUAGGGUAGCGAACGGGAUUAGAUACCCCGGUAGUCCUAGCCGUAAACGAUGGAUACUAGGUGUGGGAGGUAUCGACCCCUUCCGUGCCGGAGUUAACGCAAUAAGUACCCCGCCUGGGGAGUACGGCCGCAAGGUUGAA
rnacentral:rRNA from 1 species